rnacentral:rRNA from 1 species
AUUGAACGCUGGCGGCAGGCCUAACACAUGCAAGUCGAGCGAGCGGCGGACGGGUGAGUAAUGUGGGGGGCCUGCCCGAUAGAGGGGGAUCACUACUGGAAACGGUGGCUAAUACCGCAUACUAUCAUGUAACCCAUAUGGGAUGAGCUAGUAGGUGGGGUAAAGGCUCACCUAGGCGACGAUCUCUCGCUGGUCUGAGGGGAUGAUCAGCCACACUGGGACUGAGACACGGCCCAGACUCCUACGGAGGCAGCAGUGGGGAAUAUUGCACAAUGGGCGCAAGCCUGAUGCAGCCAUGCCGCGUGUAUGAAGAAGGCCUUAGGGUUGUAAAGUACUUUUAGCGGGGAGGCGUUACCCGCAGAAGAAGCACCGGCUAACUCCGUGCCAGCAGCCGCGGUAAUUC